UUUUUUAAAAGUUAAACGCCCGACUCAUUAAAUGUCGUAGGCUCCACUUUCUUCUUUACUUCUUCUUCUUCUUCCUUCUAAAAAAUGAGGAGGUAGUAUUACAGUCGGAGCGAGUAGAAAAGAUAAAAAAAAGGUAGAGAUUUUCUGCUCCACUAUUGGCAGGCAGAGAAGGCAGUGGUGAAGUAGGAAGAAGAGGAGAGGGAAAAGGUAGGUUUUUAUUAGCGGUAUUGAGGUAAAAAAAUCGUUGAAUUUACUCGGUUUUUGUUGUGGUUUGAGUGGGUUGGAGUCUAGGGAUUUUAGUGGUUUUUGAGAUUUUUUUGUGGAGCAGCGUGAUUUCUAUGUUUUGGUUUUUGUAUGAUUUUUACUGAGAUCUGAGUGAUUUAACUAAUUUUACUGAGAUCCGAGUUUUUACUCUUCACUUGACUGCAGUUAGUAUUUUUGGAUUUCUUCUAGAAUUUUCGGUGAUCUAAUCUAAAAAAACUAACGGCUUUUUUGUUGUUUACUUGGAAAAUAUUUACUGAGCUUUUCCCAUAUUUUUGUACUUUUGUAAAUUUAUCUUCCUUUCUUUCCCUUGUUUUCUGGGUCUAGGGUUUGUUAAAUGAAUAUUUUCUGUGAUUGUGUGUGCUCUGUUAUAACCACCACCCCCCCCCCCCUCCAAAAAAAAACCCCAAAAAACUUUUGACUUUGGCAUUUCAGUGUUUGAAAUCAAUGAAUUGUGUUUAGAUUCAUUGUUGUCUCCACUUUGUUGGCAUGCACUGGUACAACUAGUAUAGAAUCUAUUCUCUUCAUAUGAUGACAAGGCCUAUUUUUUUUUUUGUUUUUAAUAUAGGAUAUUUUAGCCUUUCGUGACUAAUCUCUGAAAAUUGUGUAAAGUCUUGUUCCAAGAUACACAAGAAGAUAGUACACGAAAAUCGAUCGCAGGAUCUGCUGGUAAUUAUUAGGUUAUGGAAUCAAUCGGACUACCUGCGGAGGUUGAUGACAAGGCCUAUUAGCCUAGAACAUUAGUUAAUAAACCUGCCUUGGAUAAGGCUUGAUAGACUAUAUUAGCUUACUUGUCUGUAACUUUGUAUGGUAGCUGAUUGGCUUCAGCUUGUGCAUGCUAAAUGAUAUUAGGCAAAACCUCAGGGGAGGUCGGCUCUUAUCUUGUCUUUCCAAUUAAUCCACGAAAAUCAGUCUUGAGCUCCAUUCUUCCGACAACAAUGGCAGUCUCGGUUGAGCCCAACUCAAUAGAAGGUAUUUUUGACUCGUCGCUGAAUCUAGAAGAAACCCACGUCAAAGAAGGCUACAACGAGGGCUACGCCGACGGUUUAGUCUCCGGGGAGGAAGACGGCCGGCAAGUAGGCUUAAAAACCGGGUUCGAAAUCGGCGAAGAAUUGGGCUUUUACAAGGGUUGUAUUGAUGUGUGGAAUUCUGCUAUUCAGGUCGAUUCAAAUUGCUUUUCAUCUCGGGUCGUAAGAAGGAUCAAGCAAAUGGAAGAGUUACUGAGCAAGUAUCCAAUAUCCGACCCAGAAGAUGAGUCGGUUGGGGAUGUUAUGGAUUCUUUGAGGUUGAAGUUUCGGGCUAUUUGUGCCACGUUGAAUGUGAAGUUGGAGUAUAAUGGCUAUCCCAAAUCUUCUGACGGAGAAAAUAUCCAAUUUUGAGACAACUUGUCGAAGAUGGGGAUUUUGAAGAGGUCCAUACAUGUUUCCCAGCACAGGGGAGGUCAUACCACCAAACACAUUGAGGAUGGUCGCUCUUCUCCACCUGCUUGGAUGAUUGAAUCCCUCAAAGCUGUAAAAUACAUCGAUGCGGCUCAUCUCUCAGUACUCCUCAUAACAGCAGGGUUGCGGAACUUGUGGCAGGAAAAGAAAGUGCCAUUGCACAAGUAGCUAGAACUAUUAUUGGCAAGACCUGUGCUCUGACACUUUUAGUGGGAGAUGCUAGCAACUCCUGUGAAGGAUCUAUGAUUGUUGAGGCAUAUGCUGGAAUUGUAACUGUCAAAAUUCCAUAUACUUCACAGGGAAAAGGUGGUUAUAAGCCUGCAGUGCUUCAUUUUGUAGAAGUCAUACUCUUUUCCAUUUUCAUAGACCUUGUCAUCUCAUCAAUAUAACCAAAUCCAGUCCCUUCCAUAAAUGUAGCUGUGUUAAUUCUUGUUGAGUGAUUAUGUACUAUUCUUCAAUAAUGGAGAAAUGUAUCUCCACCAAAGUUCUUGAUCUCUGUCUCUAUUGAAUUUUAGUAGAGCGUUAAUUACGCUGAUAAACCUUUGGAAUUGUC